rnacentral:rRNA from 1 species
CCUACGGGAGGCUGCAGUCGAGAAUCAUUCACAAUGGGGGAAACCCUGAUGGUGCGACGCCGCGUGGGGGAAUGAAGGUCUUCGGAUUGUAAACCCCUGUCAUGUGGGAGCAAAUUAAAAAUAUAGUACCACAAGAGGAAGAGACGGCUAACUCUGUGCCAGCAGCCGCGGUAAUACAGAGGUCUCAAGCGUUGUUCGGAAUCACUGGGCGUAAAGCGUGCGGAGGCUGUUUCGUAAGUCGUGUGUGAAAGGCGCGGGCUCAACCCGCGGACGGCACAUGAUACUGCGAGACUAGAGUAAUGGAGGGGGAACCGGAAUUCUCGGUGUAGCAGUGAAAUGCGUAGAUAUCGAGAGGAACACUCGUGGCGAAGGCGGGUUGCUGGACAUUAACUGACGCUGAGGCACGAAGGCCAGGGGAGCGAAAGGGAUUAGAUACCCCGGUAGUC